AGAGUUUGAUCCUGGCUCAGGACGAACGCUGGCGGCGUGCCUAACACAUGCAAGUCGAGCGGAGGUUAUUAUGAAGCUUGCGAUUAAUAACCUUAGCGGCGGACGGGUGAGUAACGCGUGGGCAAUCUACCUCUGGGUGGGGAAUAACAGUUGGAAACGACUGCUAAUACCGCAUAAGCUCUUUGAGACACAUGUUUUAAAGAGGAAAGGAUUAAUUCGCCGAGAGAUGAGCCCGCGUCUGAUUAGCUAGUUGGUAGGGUAACGGCCUACCAAGGCGACGAUCAGUAGCCGGCCUGAGAGGGUGAACGGCCACAUUGGAACUGAGACACGGUCCAAACUCCUACGGGAGGCAGCAGUGGGGAAUAUUGCGCAAUGGGGGAAACCCUGACGCAGCGACGCCGCGUGAGCGAUGAAGGCUCUCGGGUCGUAAAGCUCUGUUCUAAGGGACGAAUAAAUGACGGUACCUUAGGAGGAAGCCCCGG
rnacentral:rRNA from 1 species